rnacentral:rRNA from 1 species
AAAAACAUAGUUUUGAGAGAUGAAAUAUACAUUCAGAAUUUCCCCUGCCCACUGAAACAUAUUAAUUUAACGGCCGCAGUACUUUGACUGUGCUAAGGUAGCAUAAUAAAUUGGCUUUUAAUUGAAGUCGAGAAUGAACGGGAUUACAAUCAAUUCCUGUCUCGCUCUAGGUUUUUUGAAAUUACUAAUUAGGUGAAAAUUCCUAAACAAUUAUUUAAUAGACGAGAAGACCCUUAGAGUUUUAAUUAAUAAAGUUGAAUGUAUAUAUCUAUAAUCAUAUAAAUUAUACUUUACUUUAAUAUUUUUGUUGGGGCAACAAAUUAACAAUUUAAGUUAACUUAGUAAUUUUGUGAUUAAUUAAUAAUUUAUUUUAAUAUUACAUACCAAAAGUAUUUUAUAGAUGAAUAAGACUACCUAAGGGAUAACAGCAUAAUUUAAAUUUAAGAUUAUGACCUCGAUGUUGGAUUAGGGCCUUAUUUGAUUAACCAUUUAAUAAGAAGUGUUCUGUUCGAACAAUAUUUCUCCUACNUGAUCUGAGUUCAAACCGG